rnacentral:lncRNA from 1 species
CCGUCACCGCAUUCUAGUGGCUGUUUACAAAUCGGAGAUGAGCGACCACCACGACCUACAUGAUCAGAUGCUCACCACCAUCAGGGACGCGACCGGAAGAUGAGGAUGGCGUAGCGAUCGAUCCAAGUACUAAUUACCAAAUUAAAGAUAGCGUUAAAAGAAUAUAAUCUGAUUAUUAGUAACUAAAAAUUGUUUCUAAGGCAUUCACGGUAUAGUAGUUUUAAUGAGACGCACCAGACAAACCGACUCCAAGCGCCAUGGUCUCUCCUCCGAAACACAUCAGCCCUGCUACAGCAUCGGUAGUGGUGAGAUAGCCUCUAAUUCUGAAUCUUUGUGGU